rnacentral:rRNA from 1 species
UGGGGAAUUUUGGACAAUGGGCGCAAGCCUGAUCCAGCCAUGCCGCGUGUGGGAAGAAGGCCUUCGGGUUGUAAACCUCUUUCAGCACAGACGAAGCGCAAGUGACGGUAUGUGCAGAAGAAGGACCGGCCAACUACGUGCCAGCAGCCGCGGUAAUACGUAGGGUGCGAGCGUUAAUCGGAAUUACUGGGCGUAAAGCGUGCGCAGGCGGUGAUGUAAGACAGAUGUGAAAUCCCCGGGCUCAACCUGGGACCUGCAUUUGUGACUGCAUCGCUAGAGUACGGUAGAGGGGGAUGGAAUUCCGCGUGUAGCAGUGAAGUGCGUAGAUAUGCGGAGGAACACCGAUGGCGAAGGCAAUCCCCUGGACCUGUACUGACGCUCAUGCACGAAAGCGUGGGGAGCAAACAGGAUUAGAUACCCUGGUAGUCCACGCCCUAAACGAUGUCAACUGGUUGUUGGGUCUUUACUGACUCAGUAACGAAGCUAACGCGUGAAGUUGACCGCCUGGGGAGUACGGCCGCAAGGUUG